rnacentral:lncRNA from 1 species
CGAAGACUCAGUUCCUUAAACAACCGUGACUUGUUGGACCUCAGUUCUGCCUUUUCUGGCUGUGUCGUCUUAGCUCCAGACAUGGCAGGAGAAACUUCCAGAUGUCAGGGCAGACCGGAUUCCAGCCGUGAGAUGAGAAAUAUUGGCCAGACCAGGUUGGUGCACGGUGGACCCUGUCCUCCACUCCGCUGCCACUCUCAAGGAGUCCACGGUGUCCGGAUCCCUUGUAUUCUUAUGCCGGCACCGGAGUUUAAGGUGGCAGCAGCAGCAGCUGGCUGAGAGGCUGGACUAAGAGGCCUGUGAUGAAGAUGGGGUCCGAGGACUGGAGAGGUCCUGUCUUAGCUUUCACUGAGAGAGGACUGCUGAGCUCUGGGACAACUCCUUUGUCCUUCUUGGACCUCAAUUUCCCUACUGAGGACACUUGGGAGUCUCUGCUGCAACCUGGGGUGGGGUGGGGGUGAAGGGCUGUCUUGCUGCUGCGGGCACUGCAGGGAGUGAGUUCCCCAUUCUUGGGACUAUGCAAGCAGAUGUGUGGCUGGAGCAGAGCAGAACUUUGAGCUGCCUCCUCAGAAGAUGGGGAGUCCUUCCCGAGUCUGUUCUCUGUUCUUCUUGUUCUGGUAGAGCCUCUCUCACUCCCCUUGCUUUCUCCCAGUGACCUUCUGACCUCAACAGCCUUGACUGCUAGAGCCACAUGGAGGCAGAAGAGGCAUUAAAAGGCAAAAUCCAGUUCCAUUCGGUGCUGGGGAUAGCUCUUAUUAGGCUUAAUUAAAAUAAAUGGGAUUGCUUCCUGUCCAGUGUAGAAUAUGUGGCUGGCGAUGAAGAAGGGCAUAGGAGCUUGGCUCUGAUAGGUCAUUUGGCUUCUGGGAGGAGAUAGGGCUGUAUGCAGACCAUACCUUGUGGUUGUCACUCUGACCGCUGUAUACCGGACUGCUCUCUGCUGGCAGUAGAUCAGUCCCUUCUCUGUAGCCACCUGUGCUCCACAGGUGAGAGUUCCAGGGACAGGCUGAGAAGCUGGCAGUGCCCGGCUGGCCUGCCUGUGUCCUACUCUAGGGGCCAAUUAAGUCUCUAUCCCUAGCUGCGCUGAUUAACAGCUAAUAAGGCAGCAAACACCUGCAGCUAUGGAGGCGAAUUAAGAGCAACAGUCGGCAUAAUACACAACCCGAUAAGUGAGCAAUUAACAACCGGAGAAAGAUUAAUAG